GCCUCUUUGGCACAGUGGUACUGCGUCGCACUCGUAAUGCGAAGAUCGCUCGUUCGAUUCGGGCAAGAGGCA
rfam:Saitoella complicata NRRL Y-17804 DNA, contig: contig087, whole genome shotgun sequence.